AAAAGACUACAAGAUCUGAGCCCAGCUAGCUCUGUGACAUCACCCAGAAUUCCACUCUCCAUAAUCAGUCUCCUCCUCACAUUGGACAAACAAUCGUGAUCAUACCUUGGGGCCUUUCCACAUCUUAUCCCUUCUGCUUUCUGAAGGACACCCAUAUGUUUCAUUCCCUUCCUGUUUCAGUCCUCAGAUUAAUAUCACCUUAUUAUAAAUAGGGCUUUCUAUGAUCCCUCUCUGUAAAAUAACAACAUUCUCCAACUCGACCUACUCUAUCCCUAUCAUCCUACUUAAUUUUACUUCAAGACACUUAACAUCGAAAUCACAAUACAUUCAAUUGUUUAUUUAUUUAUUGUCUGCUUCCCAACCUUUCCCCACUAGACUAUAAAUAUUGUAUAAAUCUAAGAGCUUCUUUUUUUUUUUUAAUUCAAGUCACUGAUCUCACAGCAUCUAGAAUGGUAUCUGUUACAGAGCUAGAUUCAAACUCCUGAGCUCAAGGGAUCCUCCUACAUCAGCCUCUCUAGUAGCUGAAACUACAGGGCUUAUCAAAAAUAGUGAUGACGUACAUCUUGCCAAACCUAUUGCAACCUCCCCUUAGCAAGAACAUGUGAAAUGUUUUCAACUGGGAAGUCGGAUACAGAAGCAUCAUCCACAGUUUUUAUUGGGCCGAGUCAAAUAGGGGGCCUCUACCUGGUUGAAUUAUUAAGGGAUAAUUGAUCAUGUCUGUAACUUGCUCUCAAAUGGUUCAGCCAAAUGUCAGAAAUGUCAGAGAGACAGAGAGAAGGAGACAGGAGGAAGGGAGAGAGAAAGAGAAAAAGAGAAGAUAUAGUAAAGGUGGCAAAAUGAUGAAAAUUGGCAAAUGUACGUAAAGGCAUACAGAACUUCGAUGAACGAUUCUUGCAACCUUUAUAUAAUUCUGAAGGCUUUUAAAAAAAUGGCAAGCUUUCAAAUAAAAGCAAUUUAGGAAUUGUUUUCUAUAUACAUGGUAAAUUAAUGAAAAUAAAGCUACACAGUUUUUAAAUGGCAUUAAAC
rnacentral:lncRNA from 1 species